CCUACGGGGUGCAGCAGUGGGGAAUAUUGGACAAUGGGCGAAAGCCUGAUCCAGCCAUGCCGCGUGUGUGAAGAAGGCCUUCGGGUUGUAAAGCACUUUCAGUGGGGAAGAAAGCCUUGGGGCUAAUACCCACGAGGAAGGACAUCACCCACAGAAGAAGCACCGGCUAACUCCGUGCCAGCAGCCGCGGUAAUACGGAGGGUGCGAGCGUUAAUCGGAAUUACUGGGCGUAAAGCGCGCGUAGGCGGUCUGAUAAGCCGGUUGUGAAAGCCCCGGGCUCAACCUGGGAACGGCAUCCGGAACUGUCAGGCUAGAGUGCAGGAGAGGAAGGUAGAAUUCCCGGUGUAGCGGUGAAAUGCGUAGAGAUCGGGAGGAAUACCAGUGGCGAAGGCGGCCUUCUGGACUGACACUGACGCUGAGGUGCGAAAGCGUGGGUAGCAAACAGGAUUAGAUACCCCGGUAGUC
rnacentral:rRNA from 1 species